rnacentral:rRNA from 1 species
GACGAACGCUGGCGGCGUGCUUAACACAUGCAAGUCGAACGAAAAGGCCCUGCUAUUGUGGGGUUCUCGGGUGGCGAACGGGUGAGUAACACGUGAGUAACCUGCCCUUGACUUUGGGAUAACUUCAGGAAACUGGGGCUAAUACCGGAUAGGAGCUCCUGCUGCAUGGUGGGGGUUGGAAAGUUUCGGCGGUUGGGGAUGGACUCGCGGCUUAUCAGCUUGUUGGUGGGGUAGUGGCUUACCAAGGCUUUGACGGAUAGCCGGCCUGAGAGGGUGACCGGCCACAGUGGGACUGAGAUACGGCCCAGACUCCUACGGGAGGCAGCAGUGGGGAAUAUUGCACAAUGGGCGGAAGCCGGAUGCAGCGACGCCGCGUGCGGGAUGACGGCCUUCGGGUUGUAAACCGCAUUCGCCUGUGACGAAGCGUGAGUGACGGUAAUGGGUAAAGAAGCACCGGCUAACUACGUG